GUUUGGGUGAAGACGGAGGCGGGUUCUGGACAGACCUACGCUGUCGGGGAGUGUUUACUUCGCCUCCACUUCUGUUCCUCCCCGCCCUGGUGCUGCUCCAGGUCACAUACUCUUCCUGAGCCGGCUUCAGCCUCUCCGCGCAGAAGUCUCCCGGAGCCAUGGCCUAGUAUUCUUAUGUGAAGUCUACCAAGCUUGUGCUCAAGGGAACCGAGGUGAAGAGCUGGGUCCUGCAGCUCCGGCGGGAGCCUCCUCAGUUCUUUUCGGACGCACUCCACCCCCGCGAAUCCGGUGGAAGCCGUGAUGCGGAGAGCCGGCUUCGUGGCCUCCCAGGCUUCGCUCUGACCCUGUCUGGGCUGGAUGGAGGCCGGACCGCCCUUCCUGGCGCCUGUGCAGAGAGGGGCAGCCUCCUGCGCGGACGACCCUGGAAACAGGAUAGACGGGCGGGUGACCCGUGACCCCGUACCCACGAGUUUGGGUCCCUUGAGGCAUCUCUCCAGGCCUCUGCCUGUAAGAAGAAAAAGAGCAAAGAUAAGAAGAGAAAAAGAGAAGAUGAAGAAACCCAGCUUGAUAUGUUGCUUAUUUUGGGAGAGGCCAGCUGCCAUGUCAUGAAGACACUCAAGAAGCCCUGUGAAGAGGAAGCAAGGCCUGCCAACAACAGCCAGCACCAACUUUCCAGCCAAGGGAUUGAGCCAUCUCACAGUGGAUCCUCCAGCCCCCACCAAGCCUUCAUAUGACCAAACCAAUACCAACAUGUAACUGUGACCUCAUGUGAGUCCCCAAGCCAGAAUACCCAUCUCCUGUCUCAGAAAUGAUGAGAAAUAAUAAAUAUAUGUGCUCACACACAUUACCAU
rnacentral:lncRNA from 1 species